rnacentral:rRNA from 1 species
UUAAGCGACUAAGCGUACACGGUGGAUGCCCUGGCAGUCAGAGGCGAUGAAGGACGUGCUAAUCUGCGAUAAGCGUCGGUAAGGUGAUAUGAACCGUUAUAACCGGCGAUUUCCGAAUGGGGAAACCCAGUGUGUUUCGACACACUAUCAUUAACUGAAUCCAUAGGUUAAUGAGGCGAACCGGGGGAACUGAAACAUCUAAGUACCCCGAGGAAAAGAAAUCAACCGAGAUUCCCCCAGUAGCGGCGAGCGAACGGGGAGCAGCCCAGAGCCUGAAUCAGUGUGUGUGUUAGUGGAAGCGUCUGGAAAGGCGCGCGAUACAGGGUGACAGCCCCGUACACAAAAAUGCACAUGCUGUGAGCUCGAUGAGUAGGGCGGGACACGUGGUAUCCUGUCUGAAUAUGGGGGGACCAUCCUCCAAGGCUAAAUACUCCUGACUGACCGAUAGUGAACCAGUACCGUGAGGGAAAGGCGAAAAGAACCCCGGCGAGGGGAGUGAAAAAGAACCUGAAACCGUGUACGUACAAGCAGUGGGAGCACGCUUAGGCGUGUGACUGCGUACCUUUUGUAUAAUGGGUCAGCGACUUAUAUUCUGUAGCAAGGUUAACCGAAUAGGGGAGCCGAAGGGAAACCGAGUCUUAACUGGGCGUUAAGUUGCAGGGUAUAGACCCGAAACCCGGUGAUCUAGCCAUGGGCAGGUUGAAGGUUGGGUAACACUAACUGGAGGACCGAACCGACUAAUGUUGAAAAAUUAGCGGAUGACUUGUGGCUGGGGGUGAAAGGCCAAUCAAACCGGGAGAUAGCUGGUUCUCCCCGAAAGCUAUUUAGGUAGCGCCUCGUGAAUUCAUCUCCGGGGGUAGAGCACUGUUUCGGCAAGGGGGUCAUCCCGACUUACCAACCCGAUGCAAACUGCGAAUACCGGAGAAUGUUAUCACGGGAGACACACGGCGGGUGCUAACGUCCGUCGUGAAGAGGGAAACAACCCAGACCGCCAGCUAAGGUCCCAAAGUCACGGUUAAGUGGGAAACGAUGUGGGAAGGCCCAGACAGCCAGGAUGUUGGCUUAGAAGCAGCCAUCAUUUAAAGAAAGCGUAAUAGCUCACUGGUCGAGUCGGCCUGCGCGGAAGAUGUAACGGGGCUAAACCAUGCACCGAAGCUGCGGCAGCGACGCUGAUGCGUUGUUGGGUAGGGGAGCGUUCUGUAAGCCUGCGAAGGUGUGCUGUGAGGCAUGCUGGAGGUAUCAGAAGUGCGAAUGCUGACAUAAGUAACGAUAAAGCGGGUGAAAAGCCCGCUCGCCGGAAGACCAAGGGUUCCUGUCCAACGUUAAUCGGGGCAGGGUGAGUCGACCCCUAAGGCGAGGCCGAAAGGCGUAGUCGAUGGGAAACAGGUUAAUAUUCCUGUACUUGGUGUUACUGCGAAGGGGGGACGGAGAAGGCUAUGUUGGCCGGGCGACGGUUGUCCCGGUUUAAGCGUGUAGGCUGGUUUUCCAGGCAAAUCCGGAAAAUCAAGGCUGAGGCGUGAUGACGAGGCACUACGGUGCUGAAGCAACAAAUGCCCUGCUUCCAGGAAAAGCCUCUAAGCAUCAGGUAACAUCAAAUCGUACCCCAAACCGACACAGGUGGUCAGGUAGAGAAUACCAAGGCGCUUGAGAGAACUCGGGUGAAGGAACUAGGCAAAAAUGGUGCCGUAACUUCGGGAGAAGGCACGCUGAUAUGUAGGUGAAGCGACUUGCUCGUGGAGCUGAAAUCAGUCGAAGAUACCAGCUGGCUGCAACUGUUUAUUAAAAACACAGCACUGUGCAAACACGAAAGUGGACGUAUACGGUGUGACGCCUGCCCGGUGCCGGAAGGUUAAUUGAUGGGGUCAGCGCAAGCGAAGCUCUUGAUCGAAGCCCCGGUAAACGGCGGCCGUAACUAUAACGGUCCUAAGGUAGCGAAAUUCCUUGUCGGGUAAGUUCCGACCUGCACGAAUGGCGUAAUGAUGGCCAGGCUGUCUCCACCCGAGACUCAGUGAAAUUGAACUCGCUGUGAAGAUGCAGUGUACCCGCGGCAAGACGGAAAGACCCCGUGAACCUUUACUAUAGCUUGACACUGAACAUUGAGCCUUGAUGUGUAGGAUAGGUGGGAGGCUUUGAAGUGUGGACGCCAGUCUGCAUGGAGCCGACCUUGAAAUACCACCCUUUAAUGUUUGAUGUUCUAACGUUGACCCGUAAUCCGGGUUGCGGACAGUGUCUGGUGGGUAGUUUGACUGGGGCGGUCUCCUCCUAAAGAGUAACGGAGGAGCACGAAGGUUGGCUAAUCCUGGUCGGACAUCAGGAGGUUAGUGCAAUGGCAUAAGCCAGCUUGACUGCGAGCGUGACGGCGCGAGCAGGUGCGAAAGCAGGUCAUAGUGAUCCGGUGGUUCUGAAUGGAAGGGCCAUCGCUCAACGGAUAAAAGGUACUCCGGGGAUAACAGGCUGAUACCGCCCAAGAGUUCAUAUCGACGGCGGUGUUUGGCACCUCGAUGUCGGCUCAUCACAUCCUGGGGCUGAAGUAGGUCCCAAGGGUAUGGCUGUUCGCCAUUUAAAGUGGUACGCGAGCUGGGUUUAGAACGUCGUGAGACAGUUCGGUCCCUAUCUGCCGUGGGCGCUGGAGAAUUGAGGGGGGCUGCUCCUAGUACGAGAGGACCGGAGUGGACGCAUCACUGGUGUUCGGGUUGUCAUGCCAAUGGCACUGCCCGGUAGCUAAAUGCGGAAGAGAUAAGUGCUGAAAGCAUCUAAGCACGAAACUUGCCCCGAGAUGAGUUCUCCCUGACUCCUUGAGAGUCCUGAAGGAACGUUGAAGACGACGACGUUGAUAGGCCGGGUGUGUAAGCGCAGCGAUGCGUUGAGCUAACCGGUACUAAUGAACCGUGAGGCUUAACCUU